rnacentral:piRNA from 1 species
UUUAGUAACAGUUUCCCAUUCUGGAAUGGA